UGGCUCAGGAUGAACGCUAGCGACAGGCUUAACACAUGCAAGUCGAGGGGCAGCACAGGUAGCAAUACUGGGUGGCGACCGGCGCACGGGUGCGUAACGCGUAUGCAACCUACCUAUAAUAGGGGGAUAGCCUUCUGAAAGGGAGAUUAAGACCGCAUAAUACAACUGAAUCGCAUGGAUUAGUUGUAAAAUAUUUAUAGAUUAUAGAUGGGCAUGCGUCUGAUUAGAUAGUUGGAGAGGUAACGGCUCACCAAGUCAACGAUCAGUAGGGGUUCUGAGAGGAAGGUCCCCCACACCGGAACUGAGACACGGUCCGGACUCCUACGGGAGGCAGCAGUGAGGAAUAUUGGUCAAUGGGCGAGAGCCUGAACCAGCCAAGUCGCGUGAAGGAAGAAGGUCUUAUGGAUUGUAAACUUCUUUUAUAGGGGAAUAAAGAUGAGUACGUGUACUCAGUUGUAGGUACCCUAAGAAUAAGGAUCGGCUAACUCCGUGCCAGCAGCCGCGGUAAUACGGAGGAUCCGAGCGUUAUCCGGAUUUAUUGGGUUUAAAGGGUGCGUAGGCGGGUUGAUAAGUCAGUGGUGAAAGGUUUGCGCUCAACGUAGACAUUGCCAUUGAAACUGUCAGUCUUGAGUACAAAUGAGGUAGGCGGAAUGUGUUGUGUAGCGGUGAAAUGCAUAGAUAUGACACAGAACACCAAUUGCGAAGGCAGCUUUGGCUCAGGAUGAACGCUAGCGACAGGCUUAACACAUGCAAGUCGAGGGGCAGCACAGGUAGCAAUACUGGGUGGCGACCGGCGCACGGGUGCGUAACGCGUAUGCAACCUACCUAUAAUAGGGGGAUAGCCUUCUGAAAGGGAGAUUAAGACCGCAUAAUACAACUGAAUCGCAUGGAUUAGUUGUAAAAUAUUUAUAGAUUAUAGAUGGGCAUGCGUCUGAUUAGAUAGUUGGAGAGGUAACGGCUCACCAAGUCAACGAUCAGUAGGGGUUCUGAGAGGAAGGUCCCCCACACCGGAACUGAGACACGGUCCGGACUCCUACGGGAGGCAGCAGUGAGGAAUAUUGGUCAAUGGGCGAGAGCCUGAACCAGCCAAGUCGCGUGAAGGAAGAAGGUCUUAUGGAUUGUAAACUUCUUUUAUAGGGGAAUAAAGAUGAGUACGUGUACUCAGUUGUAGGUACCCUAAGAAUAAGGAUCGGCUAACUCCGUGCCAGCAGCCGCGGUAAUACGGAGGAUCCGAGCGUUAUCCGGAUUUAUUGGGUUUAAAGGGUGCGUAGGCGGGUUGAUAAGUCAGUGGUGAAAGGUUUGCGCUCAACGUAGACAUUGCCAUUGAAACUGUCAGUCUUGAGUACAAAUGAGGUAGGCGGAAUGUGUUGUGUAGCGGUGAAAUGCAUAGAUAUGACACAGAACACCAAUUGCGAAGGCAGCUU
rnacentral:rRNA from 1 species